rnacentral:tRNA from 1 species
CCUUCGAUAGCUCAAUUGGUAGAGCGGGGGACUGUAGAUUUAUAAUUGUGAUCCCUAGGUCGCUGGUUCGAAUCCGGCUCGAAGAU